CCUAAGGCAGCUGGCUGGCGGCAGGGACAGGAGAUUUUAUCUCAAACCUUAAUACAAAGGAAAGCGUCCAUUGAGGUGAGGAAAUCCUCAACAGUCCUGAGCGCUAGUAUGGAAUACAUGUCUUCUUUACAGAUGACAUUUGCAUUCCUUUUGCAAAUGUUUAUUUCUUAGUCCCCCAGGAUUAAGAAAAGGAAAAAAAAAGAAGCUUUUUCCAAACUACAUGUGGAAACUCCAAAAUAGGUUUUAUUUGCAAUUUUAGCUCUUCGGGGAUGACUUUCAUGUUCCUGCAUGUCAAUUACACCUGAAAGUGAAGUGCCAAUGUGCCUGUACCCCGGUCAUUCUCACAUGGGGGGUACCUGGGUGCACAGUGUUUAUAGCAUCUCUGCACCCCAUAGGUCAGCUUGGCGUCAAGGUCACAGCAGUUGUGAGGCUGGGGCUGGGGGCUGAGAGACUCUCCAGGCAAAGCACUUUCCUAAGAGAAUGGUCACGUCAGCUAACAGGGCGGGGGAUGGAGCUAUUGCUCUUCAGAUGAGUGGGGGCAUAAGAGGGUUCCAGUGUCACAUGCCCACCCACCCACAGUUGAUUUUCUCUAGCAGGUCAUUAUAAGGAUAUGAGCUGUAUAUAUUUUCAUGAGCAGUUUUUACUUCUCUGUUCCCAAACUCAGCUCCAGAUACUGUGUCAAACAAGUAGAAAACCGUUAAGUCAAAAUCACUUAUGCCUUUAGGCUACACAUGGGUACAUAAAUGUGAGGUUUUUUAAAACCUUUUCAGCUAAGCUUUAAUGUGCUACUGGAUGAAAUUUUUAAGUAAAGGAAAAAAGAAUGACGGUGUCGAUUUAUACAAAAUUUCUAAAUCUGAACGUUUUCAGAUGAAAGCACCCCUUCCAAGCUUUGGUUUCAAGGGACUGGGGCAAUGGGUGCAGUGAAGCAAAGCCUCCAGCCCUGCCUUUUAGGGUUCGGCCCGGAGCCCGGGGAGAACAGCUAGGCCGCCUGGGGACAGCAGGCGGCUUCUGUUGGCAUGCAGAGCACGGUGCGUCCAUCAGCAUGGCGCUGUUUGCGUAUCUAAAUUCAGCACUUCGAUUUGAAGCAACCGAAACUCACUUGACUCGAGGAGGCAGAACAGAAGAAGAGAGCCAGGGUGGUGGAGGAGAGGGAGGAGACGAUGGCAGAUGGCUUCUCAGCGAGAGCCACAGCUUGCAAGGCUGCAGAGCGGGGACAACGAGAUCAGAGUCUGAUGAGUCUAGACAGCACACUGAUGCACCAGAGAGGAAGCACAGAGAGCCAGGAUGCAGGUGCCUGGGUUUGGAGGCUCUAGCUUUCUCUGCUCUCAUCCAUUCCCUGCCACCUAAGAAUCAGCACUUCUCCUGUGAUCUAAAGACUUCCCGUCAACCAGUUUCUACCAAAAAUGUGCAAAAU